AGGAUUGGGGUUAAGGUUGGGGUUAGGUUAGGUUAGGUUAGGAUUGGGGUUAAAGUUAAGGACUGGGCAAGUGUUAGGGUUAGGAUCAGGUUAGGAUUAGGGUUAGGGUUAAGGUUGGGGUUAGGUUAGGUUAGGAUUGGGGUUAAGGUUGGGGUUAGGUUAGGUUAGGUUAGGAUUGGGGUUAAAGUUAAGGACUGGGCAAGUGUUAGGGUUAGGAUCAGGUUAGGAUUAGGGUUAGGGUUAAGGUUGGGUUAGGUUAGGUUGAGAUUGGGGUUAAAGUUAAGGACUGGGCAAGUGUUAGGGUUAGGAUUAGGUUAGGAUUAGGGUUAAGUUUGGGGUUAGGUUAGGAUUGGGAUUAAAGUUAAGGACUGGGCAAGUGUUAGGGUUAGGAUUAGGGUUAAAGUUGGGAUUAGGUUAGGAUUAGGGUUAAGGUUGAGGUCAGGGCUGAAGCUCAGGGUUAGGAUUAAGGUUAUGGUUGGGGAGGUGGGGGUAAAAUGGGGUAUUAGAAAGGCACCGAAAGGUUGCAAGAUCGAGUCCCCCUGCUGACAAGGUCAAAAUCUUGCGUUCUACCCCUGAACAAGGCAGUUAACCCACUGUUCCUAGGCCGUCAUUGUAAAUAAGAAUUUGUUCUUAACUGACAUGCCUAGUUAAAUAAAGUUAAAAUAGAAAUUAGACCAGGUGAUGGAAAGACAGAGAUGGAGGGGAGGUGGGGGUAAAAUGGAGUACUAUAAACCCACAACACAGUGCUGUGUCAUUAUUAGACCAGGUGAUGGGAAAGAGAGAGAUGGAGGGGAGGUGGGGGUAAAAUGGGGUACUAUAAACCCACAACACAGUGCUGUGUCAUUAUUAGACCAGGUGAUGGGAAAGAGAGAGAUGGAGGAGGUGGGGGUAAAAUGGGGUACUAUAAACCCACAACACAGUGCUGUGUCAUUAUUAGACCAGGUGAUGGGAUAGAGAGAGAUGGAGGGGAGGUGGGGGUAAAAUGGGGUACUAUAAACCCACAACACAGUGCUGUGUCAUUAUUAGACCAGGUGAUGGGAAAGAGAGAGAUGGAGGGGGAGGUGGGGGUAAAAUGGGGUACUAUAAACCCACAACACAGUGCUGUGUCAUUAUUAGACCAGGUGAUGGGAAAGAGAGAGAUGGAGGGGAGGUGGGGGUAAAAUGGGGUACUAUAAACCCACAACACAGUGCUGUGUCAUUAUUAGACCAGGUGAUGGGAAAGAGAGAGAUGGA